rnacentral:rRNA from 1 species
GCAAGUCGAGCGCUACCUUCGGGUGGAGCGGCGGACGGGUUAGUAACGCGUAGGAACAUACCCUUCUCUAAGGAAUAGCCAUUGGAAACGAUGAGUAAUACCUUAUACGCCCUUCGGGGGAAAGAUUUAUCGGAAUUAGAUUAGCCCGCGUUAGAUUAGAUAGUUGGUGGGGUAAUGGCCUACCAAGUCUACGAUCUAUAGCUGGUUUGAGAGGAUGAUC